UUUUAUAUAUAAUUUUGUUUUACGAUUGCAAAUUGCUUACUGGUAACAGAUUACAGGUAACAGUAAAUGCAAACAAAUGCAUUAUGUUGUAUGAAUUUUAAUCAUGAACAAAAAGUCUGUAAAAGUGUUGUGUAACUUACAUCUUUGGGCUUAACUGUAAUUAGCAAGUAACCAACAAUUUCCCGUUUACCUCCCUUUGUAGGCUAUGACUGAGCACAUUACAGUGAGGAUCACCAUCCAUCUUAAUAUUUUUUUUUUUAGGCAGCUCAGGCACACGCUUGUGAGUCUGAGACUGGAUGAAGGGUGAGUUUUGCAUUUCUGUACCAAAUAAA